GGGGGGAUAACAUCCGGAAACGGGUGCUAAUACCGCAUAGUUUCUUGAUCGCAUGAUCGGGAAAGGAAAGACGGCCUUUGUGCUGUCGCUUAUGGAUGGACCCGCGGCGUAUUAGUUAGUUGGUGAGGUAACGGCUCACCAAGACGAUGAUACGUAGCCGACCUGAGAGGGUGAUCGGCCACAUUGGGACUGAGACACGGCCCAAACUCCUACGGGAGGCAGCAGUAGGGAAUCUUCCGCAAUGGACGAAAGGUCUGACGGAGCAACGCCGCGUGAGUGAAGAAGGUUUUCGGGAAUCGUAAAACUCUGUUGUCAGAGAAGAACAAGUUGGAGAGUAACUGCUCCAGCCUUGACGGUAUCUGACCAGAAAGCCACGGCUAACUACGUGCCAGCAGCUGC
rnacentral:rRNA from 1 species